rnacentral:rRNA from 1 species
UACGAAGGGUGCAAGCGUUCCUCGGAAUUACUGGGCGUAAAGGGUGCGUAGGUGGUUGUUUAAGUCUGUUGUGAAAGCCCCGGGCUCAACCUGGGAAUGGCAAUGGAUACUGGACAGCUAGAGUGCGGUAGAGGGUAGUGGAAUUCCCGGUGUAGCAGUGAAAUGCGUAGAGAUCGGGAGGAACACCAGUGGCGAAGGCGGCUACCUGGACCAGCACUGACACUGAAGCACGAAAGCGUGGGGAGCAAACAGG